UACGUAGGGCGCAAGCGUUGUCCGGAAUCAUUGGGCGUAAAGAGCUCGUAGGUGGUCUGUUACGUCUGCUGUGAAAUCCUAGGGCUUAACCCUGGGCCUGCAGUGGAUACGGGCAGACUAGAGGUAGGCAGGGGAGACUGGAAUUCCUGGUGUAGCGGUGAAAUGCGCAGAUAUCAGGAGGAACACCGGUGGCGAAGGCGGUUCUCUGGGCCUUACUUGACGCUGAGGAGCGAAAGCGUGGGGAGCGAACAGG
rnacentral:rRNA from 1 species